GGGGGUGUAUAUGGGACUCGACUUAAGUGUUGACACCAGGACAGCGAGCCGAGGACCCCUUUCACUCGGAAAACACUGGGACUUUUAAAAUUAUCUGCAAAUGAUAAUAGUUACGCACUAGCUGCUGCGUAAGCAGUCAGCUACGCUUGGUUAGGUCUUGUCUGUGGGGCUAGUCAAGUGUCAUAAUCAGCAGGCUACCUGCUUUCUGAAGCUUGUAGGAAAGUAGGGAACUUUACAAGCUAACAGCUUUUGAUCCUGUCUGUGGGAGCUAAAGCUGUGAACUUAAAUCACAGGCUACGCUCGUAGAACCCUGAGUGGAAGCACUUAAGGACGGCGGUUCGAAUCCGCCCACCUCCACCA
rnacentral:tmRNA from 1 species